rnacentral:tRNA from 8 species
UUCCUCAUGGCCCAAUGGUCAAGGCGUCUGGCUACGAACCAGAAGAUUCCAGGUUCGACUCCUGGUGGGGAAG